GAUGAACGCUAGCGGCAGGCUUAAUACAUGCAAGUCGAGGGGUAGCAAGAUUGUAGCAAUACAAUUGUUGACGACCGGCAAACGGGUGCGGAACACGUACACAACCUUCCUACAAGUGGGGAAUAGCCCAGAGAAAUUUGGAUUAAUACCCCGUAACAUAGCGAUGUGGCAUCACAUUGCUAUUAUAUCUUCGGCCCUUGUUGAUGGGUGUGCGGCUGAUUAGAUAGUUGGCGGGGUAACGGCCCACCAAGUCUACGAUCAGUAGCUGAUGUGAGAGCAUGAUCAGCCACACGGGCACUGAGACACGGGCCCGACUCCUACGGGAGGCAGCAGUAAGGAAUAUUGGACAAUGGACGCAAGUCUGAUCCAGCCAUGCCGCGUGAAGGAUUAAGGUCCUCUGGAUUGUAAACUUCUUUUAUAAGGGACGAAAAAAGGUCUUUCUAGAUCGUCUGACGGUACCUUAUGAAUAAGCACCGGCUAACUCCGUGCCAGCCGCCGCCGUAAUAC
rnacentral:rRNA from 1 species